AACAGAUUAAAUAUAUUAAUUUGGAUUUAAUUAUUUAUAAUCUGA
rnacentral:tRNA from 1 species